AGGGAUCAUUGCUGGAACGCGCCCCAGGCGCACCCAGAAACCCUUUGUGAACUUAUACCUUACUGUUGCCUCGGCGCUAGCUGGUCCUUCGGGGCCCCUCACCCCCGGGUGUUGAGACAGCCCGCCGGCGGCCAACCCAACUCUUGUUUUUACACUGAAACUCUGAGAAUAAAACAUAAAUGAAUCAAAACUUUCAACAACGGAUCUCUUGGUUCUGGCAUCGAUGAAGAACGCAGCGAAAUGCGAUAAGUAAUGUGAAUUGCAGAAUUCAGUGAAUCAUCGAAUCUUUGAACGCACAUUGCGCCCUCUGGUAUUCCGGAGGGCAUGCCUGUUCGAGCGUCAUUUCAACCCUCAAGCCUGGCUUGGUGAUGGGGCACUGCUUCUUACCCAAGGAGCAGGCCCUGAAAUUCAGUGGCGAGCUCGCCAGGACCCCGAGCGCAGUAGUUAAACCCUCGCUCUGGAAGGCCCUGGCGGUGCCCUGCCGUUAAACCCCCAACUUCUGAAAAUUUGACCUCGGAUCAGGUAGGAAUACCCGCUGAACUUAA
rnacentral:rRNA from 2 species